UCCCCUCCCCCUCCUCUUCCUCUCAGUCGUACUACACGAGGCUAAUCAGAUGAAAACUUUGCAUUUGCUUUUGAUCCAAAACUCUGGAGAUUUUUGUUGCGGACGAUGUGUUUUAGAAAACUUGGAAACUGGACCCAAAGACGCAGCAACAAUUCAAGUUUCAACCCAGAUUCAACCAGAUUACCUCCUCGUCUCCUCUCCUUGUCUCCUUAUCUUCCUGCCUCCUCCUUCCCUCGUCUCCUCGUCUCCUCUGCUCUUGCUCUUCCCUCAGUGUCCUUGAAUGCUUUGCUAAAGCUGGUAAAAUGGAACCAAAUCAGCAGUUGAAUGGAUUUGGUCCCCUUCAACCAGCUGUAGCUGUGCAUUAAUCUGCCUCUGACACGCCCCUGUCGCACCUGUCAGGAGACGCACCUGUCAGGAAGUCAACAUCAAGGAAGAUUGUAAAGAACGCCUGGACUGAAGGGGACUGUAGACCAGAGCGGAUAUUGUGUGUAACAUGAGCGCACAACAGCACACGUGUGUAUUUCAUGUCCUGUUCAUAUCAAAUCAAUAAAAGCUCCUCUGGAC